CCCUCCUCUCUCUCAUUGAUUGGGUACUGGAGCUCUGCCUAGGACCUAGCCGUGGAUCUCUGCAUCUGCUUCCAUCAGUCACUGGAUAAAGAGGGUUAGAUGGCAUGGUGACAGAGUGAUGGUGUGGUGGCAGAAGUAAAAAGGUGCUCAAGGAAGAAGAGUGAUCAGAACUUCUACAACCAGAGUUAUAGGCAGUUUUGGGUAGCAUGUAGUGGGUGUUUGGAAAUGAACUCCAGUUAUCUGCAACAGCAGCAAGUACUUUUAAAUCCUGGACCAUCUCUCCAGGAUCAAUGGAAUAUAUUAGUCUCAACAAA